rnacentral:misc_RNA from 1 species
CCAUGCUUUUGGCAUCGAACUGCAAUGCCUUAUCGUCCUCAUUAAUGGGCUCGCGUUCGUUUUAUCAUCAUCGUUCGUGGUCGCUUGUUGGGUUCCUGCGUUUUAUAUCGGAUUCGACAGUUGGAUGGUCUUCUUGUCCCGACACGGUUUGUCGCUCCUCCCACGUCCCACGCGACGUGGGAAGUUAUUUGGUUUUCAUGGACGUUCGCCUGACGAGUCGUAGUUCCCUAUGGAUGGGAUCUAUUGAUCGUGAUGGCAGGUCGAUGCAUUCGACCUUUUGGGGAGCAGAGAAUUUCUGGUUAUCGCGUUUUUGUCCAUGACACUUGUUAGCUUAAUGUUAACGAGCAUGAUGUUUUUGCAUUUAUGACCCUCGUUCUCGUUCAAGUGCUUACGGAGCUUGUUCGUUCUGUUUGUGCUUGGGGAGUCACCGAGGUCGAGGAUGGAAUCUACCUGGUUGAU